rnacentral:misc_RNA from 1 species
CAUCCGAACUGUGGGUCAUGAUCUUCCUCCGAUGCCGCCUCCCGGUGUCGACCGACACUGGCGCGCUUGCAUAAAACCCGAUGAAAUCUCGCGUGCCAUCGGUAACGGGUGCGACUUAGCAGUGAAUGAGCGCACAUCACUGAUGGAUGCGGGACUGGCGCGCGCGACUACAGCGGUGGGCCGGUCUAUCGCCUUGGUGGAAGGA